ACUGCAGGUGGACGAAUCCGGACGGCACCACCUCCAAGCUCUUCGGCUUUGUGGCUAAGAAGCAGGGCAGCCCCUGCGAGAACGUCUGCCACCUCUUCGCCGAGCUCGACCCCGAGCAGCCAGCCUUGGCCAUCGUCAACUUCAUCACCAAGGUCAUGCUGGGGCCACACAGGAAAUGAGCGAGGCCGGGAGAGACGCCAGCCCUGCCCCUUUCCCCCGCCAGCGCCCAGCCACGCAGGGGGCAGCGGCUCCCAGCGGGGGCAGGAGCUGGGCUGUGGGUGCAGCCCACCCAUCUCGCUGACCCUGACACAGGCCUGAUGGCGCUCACCCUUCAGUCAGGCUAGGGAGGGGGGUUCUCAUCUGGCCCUUCGCCCCCCCCCCCCCCCAGCUCGAAGCUUUCACCCUGUCAGAGACACCAAAAACCAAAGGCACCUGGCUAAGGGAGGGCCCAGUUCGGUCACAGGCCCUGUGGUGGCACAGCAGGGGGUUAAUGCUCAGGGCUCUGGAAGGGGGCAGCCCUGGGGCUGGUGAUCUCAGCAGUGCGGGGUCACUGGAGACAGUGGGGGGCAUGGAAGAGGCAGGCAGCCAGGGGCUCGGCCGUUGCUGAGGGGAUGAAGGCUCCUAGAGGGGGAAGUGUCCGAGAAGCUGUAUGUGCCGAAGGAACAGGGGGCAGGAGCACGUGGCAUUUAGCAAGGCCAGGGCCCACCCCAGGGUGCCCGGCCCUGCAUGGGGUUGCCAGGAGCUGAGGGAGUGGGAGGGACAAGUUCACGCUCCCGGCAUGAUCAGUGCAGGCACUUGGCUCUCAGCAUGCCAAGGCCUCGUCACGGGAUUCAAGAGCAGAGCCAGCGUGGUCUAGGGGGUUACAGCAGGGGUGGGGCUGGUGAUCAGGACUCCUGGGAUCUAGCCCCUGCUCAUGGAUAAGGGUGGGAUCUAGCAUGCUAGAGCCAGGGAGGGGGCUGGGAACUAGGACUCCUGGGUUCUAUCCCCAGCUCUCCCCCUGCUGGGCUGUGUCUUAGCAAAUGCAAUGUCAGCACUCAUGCAAGGGGCCGGUUGUUUCUCGUCGGGCCAGCUGCCUACAGAGGUGGGCUGCUCCCACAGAUGAGAUCCUGCCAGUGCAGGCAGGGGCCGACUCAGGCCCUGCUGCCCGAGAGUGACAGCGCCUUGUGGGGAGAGGGAGCCGGGGCCCAGCCAAAGCCCCACAGCAGCUUCGCCAGCCGCCUCCAGUGCAGAGGAAGGGCUGCAGCCAGCCGAUGCUGAAGGCUGCGCCGUGGGGGUGGGAUUUACUAAAGAGAAGAGAUCUAUUUUUGUCUAAUAAAGAAUUUAUAUGAGCUCCAGG